rnacentral:rRNA from 1 species
AUUAAGGGCGCACGGUGGAUGCCUUGGCACUAGAAGCCGACGAAGGACGUUACUAACGACGAUAUGCUUUGGGGAGCUGUAAGUAAGCUUUGAUCCAGAGAUUUCCGAAUGGGGAAACCCAGCAUGAGUUAUGUCAUGUUAUCCGCAUAUGAAUACAUAGUAUGUGAGAAGGCACACCCGGAGAACUGAAACAUCUUAGUACCCGCAGGAAGAGAAAGAAAAAUCGAUUCCCUGAGUAGCGGCGAGCGAAACGGGAAGAGCCCAAACCAACGAGCUUGCUUGUUGGGGUUGUAGGACACUCUAUACGGAGUUACAAAGGAAAUGAUUAGACGAAUGGUUUUGGAAAAGCCAACCAUAGAAGGUAAAGGUCCUGUAGUCGAAAGUCAUUUCUCUCCUGAGUGGAUCCUGAGUACGGCGGAACACGUGAAAUUCCGUCGGAAUCUGGGAGGACCAUCUCCCAAGGCUAAAUACUCUCUAGUGACCGAUAGUGAACCAGUACCGUGAGGGAAAGGUGAAAAGUACCCCGGAAGGGGAGUGAAAUAGAACCUGAAACCGUGUGCUUACAAAUAGUCAGAGCCCGUUAAUGGGUGAUGGCGUGCCUUUUGUAGAAUGAACCGGCGAGUUACGAUUUGAUGCAAGGUUAAGCAGUAAAUGUGGAGCCGUAGCGAAAGCGAGUCUGAAUAGGGCGAAUGAGUAUCUGGUCGUAGACCCGAAACCAAGUGAUCUACCCAUGUCCAGGUUGAAGUUCAGGUAACACUGAAUGGAGGACCGAACCGACUUACGUUGAAAAGUGAGCGGAUGAGGUGUGGGUAGCGGAGAAAUUCCAAUCGAACUUGGAGAUAGCUGGUUCUCUCCGAAAUAGCUUUAGGGCUAGCCUCAAGUGAUGAUUAUUGGAGGUAGAGCACUGUUUGGACGAGGGGCCCUUAUCGGGUUACCGAA